GCCUAACACAUGCAAGUCGAACGAACCUUCGGGUUAGUGGCGGACGGGUGAGUAACGCGUGAGAAUCUGCCCUCAGGAGGGGGAUAACGGCUGGAAACGGCCGCUAAUACCCCAUAUGCCGCGAGGUGAAAUGAAUUUCGCCUGAGGAUGAGCUCGCGUCUGAUUAGCUAGUUGGUGGGGUAAAGGCCUACCAAGGCAUCGAUCAGUAGCUGGUCUGAGAGGAUGAUCAGCCACACUGGGACUGAGACACGGCCCAGACUCCUACGGGAGGCAGCAGUGGGGAAUUUUCCGCAAUGGGCGAAAGCCUGACGGAGCAACGCCGCGUGAGGGAUGGAGGCCUCUGGGCUGUAAACCUCUUUUAUCAAGGAAGAAGAUCUGACGGUACUUGAUGAAUAAGCCACGGCUAAUUCCGUGCCAGCCGCCGCGGUAAUA
rnacentral:rRNA from 1 species